GAUCAUGGAUUAAAUUGUUGGAUCAUGUGAUCACAGGGUCUUUAUAAGAGGGUGGCAAGAGUGUCAGAGUCAGAAAAGACAAGGUAAUGAUGGAAGCAGAGGUUAGAGGAGGGGAGAUUUGAAGACGAUGCAUGGCUGGCUUUGAAGGGGCCAGAAUCCAAGAAAUGCAAGUACGGUGUAAGUUUGGGAGACCAGAGAGGAAUAAUCAGCCAAGGAAACUGAGAGGUUCCAUGAAAGCCCUGGAAGAUCCAGCCCCAAGGAACUCGUAUCUGUCUCUGAUUGGAAUCCUACCACCAUUCCCUAACUCUGUGAUCUUGGGUGAUUCACUUCACCCCUCUGAGUCCCAGUUCAAUCUGUAAAACAGCACCAAUCUGUUAAAUAAUAAAGCAACACUAAUCGGUGUGAUAA